rnacentral:rRNA from 1 species
ACGGCUCAGUAACACGUGGACAACCUGCCCAAAGGUCCGGGAUAACCCCGGGAAACUGGGGAUAAUACCGGAUAAAUCACAAAUACUGGAAGGUUUUGUGGUUGAAACUUCCGGGGCCUUUGGAUGGGUCUGCGGCGGAUUAGGUUGUUGCCGGUGUAACGUACCGUCAAGCCUGUAAUCCGUACGGGUUGUGGGAGCAAGAGCCCGGAGAUGGAUUCUGAGACACGAAUCCAGGCCCUACGGGGCGCAGCAGGCGCGAAAACUCUACAAUGCAGGCAACUGCGAUAGGGGAACAUCGAGUGAUACUCAUAUUGGGUGUCUGUCCCACCGUCUAAAAAACGGUGGUUAGCAAGGGCCGGGCAAGACCGGUGCCAGCCGCCGCGGUAAUACCGGCGGCUCGAGUGGUGGCCGAUAUUAUUGAGUCUAAAGGGUCCGUAGCCGGCUUUGCAAGUCUUUUGGGAAAUCCAGCGGCUUAACCGUUGGUCGUCCGGGAGAUACUACAUUGCUUGGGACUGGGAGAGGUAGGAGGUACUCAGGGGGUAGGAGUGAAAUCCUGUAAUCCUUUGGGGACCACCGGUGGCGAAGGCGUCCUACCAGAACAGGUCCGACGGUGAGGGACGAAAGCUAGGGGCACGAACCGGAUUAGAUACCCGGGUAGUCCUAGCCGUAAACGAUGCUCGCUAGGUGUCACAACAAUCGUGAAUUGUUGUGGUGCCGUAGGGAAGCCGUGAAGCGAGCCACUUGGGAAGUACGACCGCAAGGUUGAAACUUAAAGGAAUUGGCGGGGGAGCAC